rnacentral:lncRNA from 1 species
CUCCAUUUUGUUGUAGAGUCCUAGGUGAUGAAAAUUGAUGCUCAAUGCCAAGGUUAUUGCAAAAGUUCUCAAAUGCAUGAUUUUCAAAUUCUCCUCCAUGAUCACUCCUAAUGCAUAUAAUAUCAUGCCCUUUUUCAUUUUGUAAUUUCUUAUGAAGUACUUUAAAGGCAUCAAGUGCAUCAUCCUUAUUGGCUAAGAAUAAUACCCAUGUAUAUCUAGAAAAAUCAUCCACUAUCACAAAUGCAUAAUACUUGCCAUUUAGGCUAGCGUAUCUAGAUGGCCCAAAAAGAUCUAAGUGAAGGAGUUCAAGUGGUUUUGAAGUAGAAAUAUGGUUUUUAUUUUUUAAAGAGGUUUUAAUUUGUUUUCCAAAUUGACAAGCUUCACAAAUCUUAUCCUUUUGAAAACCAAUUUUCGGAAGACCUUUAACUAAAUCAUUUUUCGAAAUUUUUGAAAUCAAAUCCAUACUUGCAUGUCCUAAUCUUCUAUGCCAUAGCCAACUAUCAUCAUGUAAUGCGGAAAAACAUUUAUCAAGAGUAGAUGCACAUUCUAUGUCAAGGUUCAAUUUGAGAGAUAAAUGCAUUAUGCUCACAAGUAUUCUUAAGAGAUGAUCUAGUUGUAACACCUCGUGAGGGAUCUCCUAAAAAUACAUCUAUAGGAUGUGAAGAGACAUACCUCCACUCCUUGGGGAGUGUUUGAGAAAUACCUUCUUGUUGCUCCAGCUCCGUAUUUGUUUGCUCUUCUUGUCUAUCCUCUUGAUUUUCUUGUGAUGUAUUCUCUUGAAUCUCUUUUGAUGAUUCUUCUUGUAAAUCUCCAUCUGCAUCAUCAUUAGCAACUCCUUUCUCCGCAGAGGAAGGGUUAGAUUCAUCAAACGUAACAUGCAUGGAUUCUUCCACAACUAAGUUCUUUUAUUAUAAACUCUAUAAGCUUUGCUUGAGUUUGAAUACCCAAGAAAGAUGCCAACAUUAGAUUUUGAAUCAAAUUUACCAAGAUUAUCUUUUGUGUUUAAAAUAAAGCAUUUGCAUCCAAAAACUUUGAAAUAACUAAUGUUGGAUUUUCUAUCUUUCCAAAGCUCAUAGGGAGUUUUGUUGAGAUGAGGUCUAAUCAACACCCGGUUUAAAACAUAGCAAGUGGUGUUGACGGCUUCAGCCCAAAAAUAUUUAGGUAAAACAUUUUCAUUUAACAUAGUCCUAGCUAUUUCUUGAAUAGACCUAUUCUUUCUCUCAACGACUCCAUUUUGUUGUAGAGUCCUAGGUGAUGAAAAUUGAUGCUCAAUGCCAAGGUUAUUGCAAAAGUUCUCAAAUGCAUGAUUUUCAAAUUCUCCUCCAUGAUCACUCCUAAUGCAUAUAAUAUCAUGCCCUUUUUCAUUUUGUAAUUUCUUAUGAAGUACUUUAAAGGCAUCAAGUGCAUCAUCCUUAUUGGCUAAGAAUAAUACCCAUGUAUAUCUAGAAAAAUCAUCCACUAUCACAAAUGCAUAAUACUUGCCAUUUAG